AAGUCGAACGAACUUAACCAUUAGUUUACUAUUGGAGCGGUUAGUGGCGGACUGGUGAGUAACACGUAAGCAACCUGCCUAUCAGAGGGGAACAACAGUUAGAAAUGACUGCUAAUACCGCAUAUGCCUUGAGUAUCACAUGGUACAAAAGGGAAAGGAGCAAUCCGCUGAUAGAUGGGCUUGCGUCUGAUUAGAUAGUUGGUGAGGUAACGGCCCACCAAGUCGACGAUCAGUAGCCGGACUGAGAGGUUGAACGGCCACAUUGGGACUGAGAUACGGCCCAGACUCCUACGGGAGGCAGCAGUCGGGAAUAUUGCGCAAUGGAGGAAACUCUGACGCAGUGACGCCGCGUGCAGGAAGAAGGUUUUCGGAUUGUAAACUGCUUUAGACAGGGAAGAAACAAGACAGUACCUGUAGAAUAAGCUCCGGCUAACUACGUGCCAGCAGCCGCGGUAAUACGUAGGGAGCAAGCGUUAUCCGGAUUUAUUGGGUGUAAAGGGUGCGUAGACGGGAAAUUAAGUUAGUUGUGAAAUCCCUCGGCUUAACUGAGGAACUGCAACUAAAACUGAUUUUCUUGAGUGCUGGAGAGGAAAGUGGAAUUCCUAGUGUAGCGGUGAAAUGCGUAGAUAUUAGGAGGAACACCAGUGGCGAAGGCGACUUUCUGGACAGUAACUGACGUUGAGGCACGAAAGUGUGGGGAGCAAACAGGAUUAGAUACCCUGGUAGUCCACACCGUAAACGAUGGAUACUAGGUGUAGGGUGUGAUAAACAUUCUGUGCCGUCGCAAACGCAGUAAGUAUCCCACCUGGGGA
rnacentral:rRNA from 1 species